GACGAACGCUGGCGGCGUGCUUAACACAUGCAAGUCGAACGGAAAGGCCUGCUUUCCCUUGUGGAUUGCGGGUACUCGAGUGACGAACGGGUGAGUAACUCGUUGGUGAUCUGCCCCCAACUUGGGUAUAAGCCUGUGAUACUGGAUCUAAUUCCCGAUAGGACUGCAGGGUUGUUCCUGCGGUGGAAUACGAUUUUCUAGUGGUUGGGGUUGAGUUCUCGGCCUAUCAGCGUGUUGGUGGGGUAAUGGACUGCCAAGGCGGCGACGGGUAGCCGGAGUGAGAGGAGGGACGGCCGAAUUGGGAAUGAGAUAAGGCCCAGACGCGUACGGGAGGUAGGAGAGGGGAAUAUUGCAGAAUGGGCGGAAGCCAGAUGCAGCGACGGUGCGUAGGAGAUGACGGCAUUGGGGUUGUAAACUACUUGCGACGGAGAGGAAGAAACCUGGUUGGAAGGGUGGUGACGGUAGUGGUAGAAGAAGCACCGGCUAACUACGUG
rnacentral:rRNA from 1 species